CUGUAAUCGCCAAGGCAUCCACCACAUGCACUUAGUCGCUUGACCCGCAAGGGCCAGUGGCGGAAGGGUGAGUAAUGAGAUUGAACGUACCCUGAGGUGGAGGAUAGCCAUGGGAAACUGUGGGUAAUACUCCAUGAUCUCUUCGGAGCAAAGAUUUAUCGCCUUGGGAUCGGCAAUCUUCCUAUCAGCUAGUUGGUGAGGUAAAGGCUCACCAAGGCUACGACGGGUAGCAGGUGUGAGAGCACGGCCUGCCACAUCGAAACUGAGACACUGUUCGGACUCCUACGGGAGGCUGCAGCGACGAAUCUUCCGCAAUGGGCGAAAGCCUGACGGAGCGAUGCCGCGUGCGGGAUGAAGCGGCUUUGCCGUGUAAACCGCUGUCAGGGAAUAGAAAUACUGAUCAUUCCCAGAGGAAGGGGCGACUAACUCUGUGCCAGCAGUCGCGGUAAGACAGAGGCCCCGAGCGUUAGUCGGAAUCACUGGGCUUAAAGGGUGCGUAGGCGGAUUCAUAAGUGUCGUGUGAAAGCCCACUGCUCAACGGUGGAACCGCACGGCAAACUGUGAGUCUUGAGGAAGCUAGAGGUCGCUAGAACGAAUGGUGGAGCGGUGGAAUGCGUAGAUAUCAUUCGGAAUGCCAAAGGUGAAGACAGGCGACUGGGGCUUUCCUGACGCUGAGGCACGAAAGCGUGGGGAGCAAACAGGAUUAGAUACCCUGGUAGUCCACGCCCUAAACGAUGUACGCUGAAUCACGGCGGCUCUGACGUCGUCGGGAUUGUAGAGAAAUUGGUAAGCGUACCGCCUGGGGAGUACGGUCGCAAGGCUAAAACUCAAAGAAAUUGACGGGGGCUCACACAAGCGGUGGAGCAUGUGGCUCAAUUCGAAGCAACGCGAAGAACCUUACCUGGGUUUGACAUGGUCGGAUUAGCUGGUGGAAACAUCAGUGACAGCCGCAAGGUCGGAACGAUCACAGGUGCUGCAUGGCUGUCGUCAGCUCGUGCAGAUCGGAAGAGCGUCGGGUAGGGA
rnacentral:rRNA from 1 species